rnacentral:misc_RNA from 1 species
AAAAGUCGUAACAAGGUCUCCGUUGGUGAACCAGCGGAGGGAUCAUUACAAGGAGCCGAAAGGCUGCCCGAAACCAUCGCGAACCCAUCCAAGUUGCUUCGGCGGCCUGGCCCCUCCCCUCGGGGGGGGCCGAGCCGCCGGAGGACCAGAACCCUCCUGUAUUAUAGCGGCAUCUCUGAGUACAACAAGCAAAUAGGCCAAAACUUUCAACAACGGAUCUCUUGGUUCUGG